AUUUGGGGGGAAUGUUGUGAAUGUUGGAUGAUGUAAGCCAAAUGAACAUGGCUUAAUAGUGAAUUGUGAGAGAGGGUGAUUAUCCCCUAUCUGAGGAUAACUGAUUUUGUAGGCAAUGGGCCAGCAUAUAAUCAUUAAAUUAAUAAAAAAUAAAAAAUAAGCAUAUAAAAGAACCUUACAUAUGUGCAAAGGACCCCCUAAUUAUAACCGUGAUUCUCUUUAUUCAUGAUAAUGUUAUUAAUUUCCAACAGAAUGAGCACUUUUUUUAGUGGGACAUGUUUUUGCCAAAGUUUCAAGAAUCAGUGACAUACAACCCCACAGUGCUACUCCCUAACUGACAUUAUGUUCCACAGCUAAGGUGAAACUAACUACAGGUCAGGCUUCCUCAACUAGUUAAACAAGUCAGUUUUGUGAAACCAGAUACAGCCUGUCAUUACACAAUAAAAUUCCUUUCACAUCCCUGAUUCUCCAAGUUAAAGGAACUUGAAAGAAGAACUAAUGAGUAGUUGGUCCAUGUCAUGAGACUAUUACGCUACAGCCAAGAAGCAGCAGGAGCUCCGGGUCGGAGGGAUCUCUCCUUUAUUGUCUAGCAGUAUUUCUGUUUCAAGACAGUAGCAGAUACUUCAGAUGUCCAUCCACCUUCAAACAGCUUAUCUCGGUGUUACUGGGGAAGCGAAGGAGACUACCCCAGACAACACAGCGCUCAAGGCAAGGGUACACCAUGGAUGCGAGGUACCGAAGAUGUGUUUCGUCGGAUUUAAACUAAGACUGAUCUCCUACAAGGCGAUUAUGUUCUAUACCUGAUAAGAGGACCCAUCAGGAGAAGAUGUAGGAAAAGAACGAGGGGGCGAUCUCUCCCCAGGUCCCGGUGGAUGAAAGUCAGCGCCAGCUGCGUCAGGACGGACGGCACCAGGACGAAGUAUUGCCAGUGAGACUGCCGAAGACGUGGAGGGCGCCGAUGGGACGUCAGGAGGUGUAGACCACUCUGCUGGAGAUGUGGAGGGCGCCGAUGGGACGUCAGGAGGUGUAGACCACUCUGCUGGAGAUGUGGAGGGCGCCGAUGGGACGUCAGGAGGUGCAGACCACUCUGCUGGAGAUGUGGAGGUCGCCGAUGGGACGUCAGGAGACGUGGACCACUUUGCUGGAGAUGUGGAGGGCGCCGAUGGGACGUCAGGAGGUGUAAACCACUCUGCUGGAGAUGUGGAGGGUGCCGAUGGGACGUCAGGAGGUGUAGACCACUCUGCUGGAGAUGUGGAGGGCGUCGAUGGGAUGUCAGGAGACAUGGACCACUCUGCUGGAGAUGAGGACGGUGCUGAAUGCACAUCAAGAAGCAGCUAUGGGAUUGGAACUGCAGGUGGAGAAGAUGCCAAAGAAACACCAGGCAUGACAGUGAUGCAGACUCACCAGAGCAGGGCAAUGUGUGUUUGGCUUCUCACAAAUCGGGUGUUGGCGGCAUGGCCUCUCCUGAGCCAGGCACAUCUUUGACACUGUGGGCUCGGUCUCAAGAGCGUCCUCAGGUGGGUCAGACCCUGCUGGGCUCGGCAGUUCUGCUCUCCUCCUCCAGAGCUUAGCAUGAGAAGCGGUAAUGGAGCAGCUUCUAGCAACAGACAAGAAUCAGGCAGAGCAGCUUCUCGCUGCUGAGAAGCAUCGGGCGGGGAGCCGGCGGCCCGAGCAGUGAGAUGAACAGCGGCAGAUGUAGUGUCUCAUGGUCCAGAACCUGGGACUGCAGGUUUCUCCAACAGAGAAGCCCCGUCUGCCUCGACCAGUCCCUGUACUUCUCCCAAAAGGUGCCGGGCCUUCUCCACCUCCUGGGGAUCCUCAUCUGGGGUGAGUCCUUCCAACACCUGUUCUGUCUCCAGAAGUAUCGCCCUCACUUCAGGGAUCCUACACUGUGUGAGAUCAUGCCUCCACUCCAGAUGCGCAUCCAGCAAAGCAAAAAGGUCUACUGCCUGGAGAUGGGGCAAUGCAGCCGGAUGCAUGUCAGAGGGCGUGGCGCUUGUUGGUAGUCCCUCAGAGGGAACGUUGGAGUUAAAGGCUGUCAGGAUGUUUGUGGAAUCCUGGCAUACUGUCAAGUCUAUAGUAGUGAGGAGGCGUAAAAACUCCAGGCACACCCUUUGUGCAGGAAAUACCCCCAAAGGGGACUUUAUUAGGGAUGCAACAGAGGGGAGUAGGUCAAUAACGGGGACCUACAGAGGGCUCAAACUUAUGACACACAGCAAUGCCAGGACUCGAGCACAUAGGACAGAAGGUCACAUAAACACUGUUAACGAAGAGUACACAAGGGGCAAGUGUGGGCCAUAACAAUAAACUCAUAACAAGGGCUUUGAAACAGCUGCCCAACAUAAGGGCACAGCAGUGACAUCUGCUGGCCAAACAGAAACAGGACGGGGUUGAUGGUGACAGGUGUACAUGUCUUUUAGAAUAUCUAUGGCUUCACAAAAGCAUUGUGAUCUGAAAAUGUCCCCAGUGAGGGGAAGGGGUGGGCAAUUACUUUCUGAGCAGUGUCAGUGUCGGUGAUCCUUUGAAGGGCUUGCCUGCCUAGCUGAAUAGUGAGUGUCCACAGUGUACUAUGAAUGCACUGUGAUGCAAUAGUUCAGGACGCUUUCAAUGGAGCAGUGACAGAAUGGCGCAAGCUGCUGGAGGAACAGGCUGGUUAUUUUAAUUGCCCUUGUUGACCAAGGCAGUGAUGUUAGUUGCCCAUAUGAGGUUCCCUGUGAUGUGAGUUCCCAGAAAUGUUUAAAGUGGAGCCCCUUUCCUCGUUGUCUCCGCUGAUGUUUAAUGGGGAGAGGUCCUUCUGAAAUUGAUAAUGAGUUCUUUGGUUUUGUUGGUUUUGCAUGACAGGUGUGAGACUAGGGGAGAGGUGGGGGAGAAUCUGACUGAGCGGUUUAACACAGACUCCUUGAUCCACAUACACAUAGGCUGACUGAGAUCCAGGUUGAGCAGUUUGCUGUCCAGCCUACUGUGGACCAGUGUGUUGAACACCAAGCUAUAGUCAAUAUAAAGCAUUCUCACAUUUGUCUCCCGUUGUUUGAGAUGGAUAGACAGUACUGAUGGCAUCAUCUGUGGAUCCAUUUACUCUGUAGACACACUGGUGCUGGUCCAGGUUAGAGGAUGCAGUGGCUCUGCUGUGCCUUGAGACCAGUCUCUCAAAGCACUUCAUAAUGAUGGGUGUGAGAGCCACUGGUCUGUAGUGAUUUAGACAGGUAACCAUGGUUUCCUUUGCACUGGAAUAAUGGUAGCUGUCGUUAGGUAUGAGGAGAUGAUGGACUGGACAGAGACAGGCUGGAGCUAUUGGAGAAGACCUUGAUAGCUGGUAGGCACAGUUCUUGAGCAUCCUUCCAGGUAUCCCAUCAGGACGGGCCACCCUCGAUUCAUUCACUGUGCUGGGCUCGAUUUCCCGAUAACAGUGACUUUUAGCAUCUUAUGAAACCUUGAAAGGUAUACCUUACUGAAGUUGCUUACUUUUCUGCACGUGGUCCCCAAGCAAUCCCUUAAGAGGCUGCUUAAGGGUGAGCUUCAUAAGUGUGAAGUAACUAGGCGCUGGAACAUCUGACUGGUUGACUUUGAUGGCUUAAGAAUUUAUCAUUCCUUCCAUGCAGCAACUGCUUGACUGCGGCAUGAGAGAAAGUGGUGUUCUUUAUAAGUAUAGCACUGCGGAAAUGCUUCAAAAUAUUGCAUUUAUCAACACUGGGGACAACCUAAAAAUAAAAUACAAAAUUAACAAACUUAGUCAUCUAACCGUAAAUAUGAUUUUCGCUAUUUGGGUGCCCACCUCCCCAGAUUGUCGUUUCACACCAUUUUAUUUUUAUUUGUUCUAUAAAACACCUGUAUGCACCAACAUGUGAGAAUGUCAUUGAUACUGGGACGAGCGAUGGCCCAACAGGCAAAAGAAAAGUUGUGUUACUGUCAUAAGAUAAGAGAGCGUCCUAUGCGCUUCAUUACUGCCUACCCACAUAGCAAGAGGAGUGUGAACCGGAUCGGGGCUCAAUGUUCGGAAAUCACUGUAGAUCCAUAAACCAGAUCUGGCCUGGUUUCACUUUGCACUACUGACCAAUACUGGUCUGAAUUCACUUUCUGUAUUUGAAACAGAUAAGGGUCAUAUCUGGGCCAGCUUUACAUUGAAUAUUAUGAAAUUCAUCUUGUAUUUGCACCAGAGUCAAAAGUUAGAUCAGAUCUGGUCCAAAUGCAGCUCAGAUGCAAUUUUCCAGACUGACUGCUGACUAGUUCUGCUCCAGGAUCCUAAAGUAACAUAAUACAAUGAAUAAAUGCUUUUAUUUGCCAUUUGCACAGGUGUAUUAGAAUUCAUCUCUUUGCCUACCCCAUAUUGCUCUCUAUAGCUUGGGGGUCACAGCAGAGGGCCAGCCAAUGUGCAGCAUCCCUGGAGCUGGGGGGUUAAGGGUCUUGCUCAAGGGCCCACGGACAUGUGACUGUCCUGCUGAGGCGGUGACAUAAGAACAUAAGAACAUAAGAAAUUUACAAACGAGAGGA